UUGACCUCGAAUCAGGUAGGGAUACCCGCUGAACUUAAGCAUAUCAAUAAGCGGAGGAAAAGAAACCAACCGGGAUUACCUCAGUAACGGCGAGUGAAGCGGUAACAGCUCAAAUUUGAAAUCUGGCUCCUGCGGAGUCCGAGUUGUAAUUUGUAGAAGAUGCUUUGGGAGGUAGGGCCGGCCUAAGUUCCUUGGAACAGGACAUCAGAGAGGGUGAGAAUCCCGUAUGCGGCCGCGGCCUACGCCCGUGUAAAGCUCUUUCGACGAGUCGAGUUGUUUGGGAAUGCAGCUCAAAAUGGGUGGUAAAUUUCAUCUAAAGCUAAAUAUUGGCCAGAGACCGAUAGCGCACAAGUAGAGUGAUCGAAAGAUGAAAAGCACUUUGGAAAGAGAGUUAAACAGUACGUGAAAUUGUUGAAAGGGAAGCGCUUGCACCCAGACUUGGGCGUCGUCGAUCAUCCGAGGUUCUCCUCGGUGCACUCGACGAUGCACAGGCCAGCAUCGGUUUGGGUGGUUGGAGAAAGGCUCUAGGAACGUAGCUCUCUUCGGGGAGUGUUAUAGCCUAGGGCGUAAUGCAGCCCAUCCGGACCGAGGACCGCGCCUUCGGGCUAGGAUGCUGGCGUAAUGGUUGCAAGCGACCCGUCUUGAAACACGGACCAAGGAGUCUAACAUCUAUGCGAGUGUUUGGGCGUUAAACCCAUACGCGGAAUGAAAGUGAACGUAGGUGAGAACCCGUUAGGGUGCAUCAUCGACCG
rnacentral:rRNA from 1 species